rnacentral:rRNA from 1 species
GAUGAACGCUAGCGGCAGGCUUAACACAUGCAAGUCAGGGCAGCAGGUGAACGACGGAGAUUCGUCGAAGUGUUGAUGGCGACCGGCGCAAGGGUGCGUAACGCGUGAGCAACUUGCCCGUUUCUGGGGAAUAACCGGUGGAAACGCCGACUAAUACCCCAUAGCAUAACGAAGAGGCAUCUUUUUGUUAUUAAAGAAAUUCGGAAACGGAUAGGCUCGCGUGACAUUAGCUAGACGGCGGGUAACGGCCACCGUGGCUACGAUGUCCAGGGGUUCUGAGAGGAAGGUUCCCCCCACACUGGAACUGAGACACGGUCCAGACUCCUACGGGAGGCAGCAGUGAGGAAUA